UGCCAGCAGCCGCGGUAAUACGGAGAUGGCAACCGUUGUUCGGAAUCCACUGGGCUUAAAGGGCCACGUAGGCGGGUAAAUUAGUUGGUUGUGAAAUCCCAUGGCUUACCCAUGGAACUGCAGCCAAAACUGUUUACCUUGAGUAUGGUAAGGGAUAGUGGAACUCCUGGUGGAGCGGUGAAAUGCGUUGAUAUCAGGAGGAACGCCGGAGGCGAAAGCGACUAUCUGGGCCAUAACUGACGCUGAGGGACGAAAGCGUGGGGAGCGAACGGGAUUAGAUA
rnacentral:rRNA from 1 species